rnacentral:rRNA from 1 species
GACGAACGCUGGCGGCGUGCCUAAUACAUGCAAGUCGAACGCAGUGGGGACGGGUGAGUAACACGUGGGUAACCUCCCGUCAGAGGGGAUAACACUUGGCAACAGGUGCUAAACCGAUACUGAUGGAUGGAUCCGCGGUGCAUUAGCUAGUCGGUGAGGUAACGGCUCACCAAGGCCACGAUGCAUAGCCGGUCUGAGAGGGUGAUCGGCCACACUGGAACUGAGACACGGCCCAGAUUCCUACGGGAGGCAGCAGUAGGGAAUAUUCGGCAAUGGACGAAAGCCUGACCCAGCAACGCCGCGUGAGUGAAGAAGGUUUUCGGAUUGUAAAACUCUGUUGUUAGAGAAGCGUUACCUAAAGAGAAAGCCACGGCUAACUACGUGCCAGCAGCCGCGGUAAUAC